rnacentral:rRNA from 1 species
AUUGAACGCUGGCGGCAGGCCUAACACAUGCAAGUCGAACGAGUGGCGGACGGGUGAGUAAUGUCUGGGAAACUGCCCGAUUUAGGGGGAUAACUACUGGAAACGGUAGCUAAUACCGCAUACCAUCGGAUGUGCCCAGAUGGGAUUAGCUAGAAGGUGGGGUAACGGCUCACCUAGGCGACGAUCCCUAGCUGGUCUGAGAGGAUGACCAGCUAGAAUGUAGAUGAGACACGGUCCAUACUCCUACGGGAGGCAGCAGUGGGGAAUAUUGCACAAUGGGCGCAAGCCUGAUGCAUACAUGCCGCGGGUAUGAAGAAGGACUUCCGGUUGUGAAGUACUUUCAGGGAGGAGACGAUACUCGCAGAAGAAGCACCGGCUAACUCCGUGCCAGCAGCCGCGGUAAUAC